rnacentral:rRNA from 1 species
AUGACUAGGGAUAACCUUAGGAAGAGACACAUCAUCAAACCCCUUGAUUGUGUUUACUGCUUGGAACAAGAGUCUGGUUCCCACCUAUUUUUUGAAUGUAUAGUUGCUAAACAUCUCUGGGCCCACAUUGAGGAAUAUUUCUCUAGUCAGAUUGGCUCAUCCUUCGAAUCUGUCGCCAGAUUCUGGAUUGCUACCAAAAAGUGAUCAGUUUUAAACACUGUUAUCUUAGCUGUCCUUUGGUGCUCCUGGAAAUAUAGAAAUGCUAUGAUUUUCAGUAACACCUCCUGGAUUUCCAUUCCGCAGGUCUUGAGGUUGAUCAGGAACAUGGUGAGGAACUGGGUGAUUGUCUCCUCCGGAUCGGACAAGGACAAGUUGACGAGCUUCGUGGAAACCCUAACAAGAUCCCUCCAGAAACCGUUGGGGAUCACUUGUGGCUGA